AGUGAACGCUGGCGGUAGGCCUAACACAUGCAAGUCGAACGGCAGCACAGUAAGAGCUUGCUCUUACGGGUGGCGAGUGGCGGACGGGUGAGGAAUACAUCGGAAUCUACUUUUUCGUGGGGGAUAACGUAGGGAAACUUACGCUAAUACCGCAUACGACCUACGGGUGAAAGCAGGGGAUCUUCGGACCAUGCGCGAUUGAAUGAGCCGAUGUCGGAUUAGCUAGUUGGCGGGGUAAAGGCCCACCAAGGCGACGAUCCGUAGCUGGUCAGAGAGGAUGAUCAGCCACACUGGAACUGAGACACGGUCCAGACUCCUACGGGAGGCAGCAGUGGGGAAUAUUGGACAAUGGGCACAAGCCUGAUCCAGCCAUACCGCGUGGGUGAAGAAGGCCUUCGGGUUGUAAAGCCCUUUUGUUGGGAAAGAAAAGCAGCAGGUUAAUACCCCGCUGUUCUGACGGUACCCAAAGAAUAAGCACCGGCUAACUUCGUG
rnacentral:rRNA from 1 species